ACCUGUUCUGGAUUUCAGUUAGGUCUUCAGGAGUGACAUCAUCAAACCUGUUCAGGGAUGUUUCCUGAAGGGAAGAUCCCUGGAUUUCAGUUAGGUCUUCAGGAGUGACAUCAUCAAACCUGUUCAUGGAUGUUACCUGAAGGGAAAAUCUCUGGAUUUCAGACGUGCCUUCAGUAGGGACAUCAUCAAAGGUAUUCUUAGAUGAUGCCUGAAGGGAAGAUCUCUGGAUUUCAGUUAGGUCUUCAGGAGUGACAUCAUCAAACCUGAUCUGGAUUUCAGUUAGGUCUUCAGGAGUGACAUCAUCAAACCUGUUCAGGGAUGGCUCCUGAUGGGAAAAUCUCUGGACUUCAGGUAUGCUUUCAGUAGGGGCAUCAUCAAAGGUGUUGUUAGAUGAUGCCUGAAGGGAAGAAAUCAGGAUUUCAGGAAUGCCUUCAGUAGGGACAUCGUCAAAGCUGUUAUCUGAUGUUGCCCGAAGAGAAUCUUUCUGGAUGUCAUAUGUGCCAGUGGCAUUCACAAUGUGAGGUACCUCCCUGUAACUCCCUGAACUCUGAGUGCAUGAGCUGUUGUUGGGGGUGUUCACUUCCUGCGGUGUCUUGCAAGAUAAAGAUUUUGAAGAAGAAAUGCUCUCAGAGGACAGGGAUCUUGAGGAUCUUGACGAAUAGCAAAUCAUGCUGCCCACUGCCAAACAUCUGCUCUUGACAUAAGUAAUCUUACGACCAGCCAAUUUGGAGGCUGGGUGUGGACCUUUGUUUCCCUUCUGCUGACAGCACAAGGUGGCAGGCAUGCUCAGACUUCUCGUGGUCUUCUUCCUUGAUCCCUUCUCAUCAUGCACCCGGUGUUCCUCCAGCAAUGUGAGAAGAGCAAGCUCACUCAGUCUCCUCUGAGAAGUAAAGCCAGUGAUAGCAUCUGCUCGGGACAUAGCAUCAGAGUCCGGCAAAAACUUCUCAGCAUAUUUAGAGUGGUCGCGGUGUGACUUGUGGUUUAAAAUUAGAUCUGAUAAUGUUUCUAUGAGGGAAGAUAUUACAGAUCUACCACUGAAGAUGAAUGGAUACUUCCUUGUGACUUGGAUGAAACAGGAGUAGAACACCAUCCUGGGCACAUGGGGCACUUCCAAACGAUGAGAAAUCGAACAGCAGGAGC